AUUUUUUUUUUUAAUCAGUUGGAUUGCAGGUUUGAGCAUAAGUAUCUGAGGUUUGUGAGUGACGGGUAUNGUUCAAAUGUUAAACUAAUUUUUUGAAAGUAGGCGGAGAAUUUGGGGCUUGCUCCUACUCCGUCGCGGGUUGUCCCGGUUUAGCACCACCACCGGGAACGGCCCAAUAUAU